CAGCACGGUACCCCAACAGUUGCCAACCAUGGAAAAUAAGAAGAAGAUUGAAGACGUUGACCAGGUGUGCUGGAAACAUCAGGAUGAUGAUGGACUCAAAGAAGAAGAAGAAGAGAGCGAGGAGAUGAAGAUGGAGAAGUUUUAUUCGUUGAUUCGGAGCUACCACGAAGCUCGUAAUCGUCUAAGAUUAAGGAACGCAACACGGCCGCCGCCGCCGCCACCACAAGUUCAUAGUGAUGAUCAUGAAGUAUUGUCGGUCAACAAGGUCAACAGCAACAAGAGAAGAAAGAAAAUGGGUGGUGAUGAUGAUGAUGCAGGAGGAGGAGGAGGUGGAGGGAAAAUUUGGGUGCCAAGUUUUGAGGUGGGGGAUUUUGCCAACGAGGUGGAGUUUCGACGUUCUCUCUAUUCUUGUAAUAAUAUUAUUACUAGUACAGGAAGUACUGCUAGUUCUGCAGAACAAAAACAAGAUGAUGGAAAGAACGAGUUCCUGGACUUGAGGCUCACCCUAUAGACCAGUGUGUGAUUUGCAAGUACAUCUUAAAUUAACCUGUAAUUAACUAAUUGAAGUUUCUUGAUGUGUUAAAUUAGGGUUCUCAGUUCUUGAUGAUGUUUAAUUUGAAUGUUAAUAUUUUGAUCUUUACUCUCUCCUGAAAUAUGAAUCCAAGAUGGAUGAAUUGGUUACUUGAGGGAGGCAGCCGCAGAAGAACCUCCGACUCGGUUCCUUGAGAAAACAGGCGAAAUGAUUUUAGGUAGGGAUAACUAAUUAGGGGGAUGCACCGUGCAUUUUGUGCUUUUGGCGCAAGAAAUGUUUGUUUUAUGAUUUAAUCACGCCCCAUGACAUCCGGCAAUCAUAAGUUUGCGACUUUUUUUAUUUUAAUUUUAUUUUAAUUUUUUUUAUGUUAAAGAACAUAAUAAACCAAAGAAUAAAAAACAGAAUCGACAGGGAAAAAAAAAAGAAAUAAAAUAUAACAAGGAAAUUAAACAAGAAAAUUUUAACAAAAAGCUUCCGGUACUGUUCAUUUUAACGAAAAAUCACAUUUUACACUAAAAAGUCAAUCCUGACACUAUUCACUUUACCUUUUAUUUUGUCCUUAUCGUUAAAAUUCAAAGUUUUCAAACCAUUUUCAUUAUUUUUCCUAUUAAACAAAUGCCCCUUAUAUGAAUAAUGUGUGUUUUUAGGCAGUGGAAUUGUACAUGCGAUGCAUGCAUUCGGAGGAGUGCAGAAGAAGAAAAAAAUAUAGAAAAGACGGUUUUCUUGAUAGUAAUAUGCAUAGAUUAUUUUAUUAUUCACUUAUAUUGCAUCACGGGAAUGAAGAAUAUCAUGUGACACUUUAUGAUAGCCACAAAACAAAAAUCGUCUUGUCUUCCAAAAACACAAAAAAAACAAAAAUCGUCUUAAUUGUCAGACCCUAAAUGCUUUUCUAGUGGUUGAAAUACAUUCGU
rnacentral:lncRNA from 1 species